AUGAUGAAGAUGAAGAUCUUCGGAUGAAUUUUAGAGCUUUGCAGAUUGAGGAAUAAUAAUUUUGAAGAAAUAUUUUGAAGUUCAGAAAAUUGACACCGAAGAAUAAAUUUUGGAGUUUUGGAGAUCGAAGAAUGUAUUUUGGAGUUAUUAAAGAUUCAACCUGAAGAAUGAGUUUUGGAGUUAUUGAAGAUUCAAUCUGAAGAAUGAGUUUUGGAUUCAUUGAAGAUUCCCCCUAAAGAAUGAGUUUUGGGAUCAUGGCAGAUAAUGUGUAUGCGUUGUAUGUAGGGCAAAGUUACAUCUAUUAUGCGCUUAGAAUUGGCGAAUGAAGGGUUGUUAAUGCUGUAGAACCUAUGUGUUCCUACUGUCAUGAGCUUGUUGCAGUUGGUUGUGAAUGUUAUGUUGUUGGAGAUCGACGGUUACAUUUGCAAGAAGUUUGGUUGAAGUGCAAUUUAAACUGCCAUCCUGCUGCCUUGAAAGAAUGUUCCUGCUAUUGAAAUGAUUGCAGGCGAAUAUGGAGAAGAGGAAAAGCUUGGACUAGAAGAGUGAAGCGUGAAGAUGAUGUUAGUGCUUUAGAUUAGAUGUUUGGAUACUUGGAUGUUAGUUUAUACUGUGACCUUUGAAAUUAUUCUUAUGUAAUGUGUAAAACAGAAAGGAUUAUUGAAUCAUUAACUAUGCAUGGAUUUGUAUUGAAUGUCAUUUAUCAUGAAAGGUUAUCAA